rnacentral:rRNA from 1 species
UGCAAGUCGAACGGUAACAGGGAGCUUGCUCCGCUGACGAGUGGCGAACGGGUGAGUAAUAUAUCGGAACGUACCAUUCAGUGGGGGAUAACGUAGCGAAAGUUACGCUAAUACCGCAUAUUCUGUGAGCAGGAAAGCAGGGGAUCGCAAGACCUUGCGCUGAUUGAGCGGCCGAUAUCAGAUUAGCUUGUUGGUGAGGUAAAAGCUCACCAAGGCGACGAUCUGUAGCGGGUCUGAGAGGAUGAUCCGCCACACUGGAACUGAGACACGGUCCAGACUCCUACGGGAGGCAGCAGUGGGGAAUUUUGGACAAUGGGGGCAACCCUGAUCCAGCCAUGCCGCGUGAGUGAAGAAGGCCUCCGGGUUGUAAAGCUCUUUCAGCCGGGAAGAAAACGCAUGGGUUAAUACCCUGUGUGGAUGACGGUACCGGAAUAAGAAGCACCGGCUAACUACGUGCCAUCAGCCGCGGUAAUACGUAGGGUGCGAGCGUUAAUCGGAAUUACUGGGCGUAAAGCGUGCGCAGGCGGUUUUGUAAGACAGGCGUGAAAUCCCCGGGCUUAACCUGGGAACUGCGUUUGUGACUGCAAGGCUAGAGUACGGCAGAGGGGGGUGGAAUUCCACGUGUAGCAGUGAAAUGCGUAGAGAUGUGGAGGAACACCAAUGGCGUAGGCAGCCCCCUGGGUCGAUACUGACGCUCAUGCACGAAAGCGUGGGUAGCAAACAGGAUUAGAUACCCUGGUAGUCCACGCCCUAAACGAUGUCAACUAGGUGUUGGGAGGGUAAAACCUUUUAGUACCGGAGCUAACGCGUGAAGUUGACCGCCUGGGGAGUACGGCCGCAAGGUUAAAACUCAAAGGAAUUGACGGGGACCCGCACAAGCGGUGGAUGAUGUGGAUUAAUUCGAUGCAACGCGAAAAACCUUACCUACCCUUGACAUGCCAAGAACUUUCCAGAGAUGGAUUGGUGCCCGAAAGGGAACUUGGACACAGGUGCUGCAUGGCUGUCGUCAGCUCGUGUCGUGAGAUGUUGGGUUAAGUCCCGCAACGAGCGCAACCCUUGUCGUUAAUUGCCAUCAUUUAGUUGGGCACUUUAACGAGACUGCCGGUGACAAACCGGAGGAAGGUGGGGAUGACGUCAAGUCCUCAUGGCCCUUAUGGGUAGGGCUUCACACGUCAUACAAUGGUCGGUACAAAGGGUGCCAAGCCGCGAGGUGGAGCCAAUCCCAGAAAGCCGAUCGUAGUCCGGAUCGCAGUCUGCAACUCGACUGCGUGAAGUCGGAAUCGCUAGUAAUCGUGGAUCAGAAUGUCACGGUGAAUACGUCCCCGGGUCUUGUACACACCGCCCGUCACACCAUGGGAGCGGGUUCCGCCAGAAGUAGGUAGCCUAACCGCAAGGAGGGCGCUUACCACGGCGGG